ACGAGCACAAGCUCUGGAUUCAGACUAGGUUUAAAACGUGGUUCCACUACUUCUAAUUAGGUGACCUUUGAUCACAAGAGACCCCUGGAGAUGGGAAGCCUCCAGCUUUACCACCCAAACAGUCAAAGAAAAACAGUUGGAACCAAAUUCAUUAUUCACAUUCGCAACAAGAUCUAGAAAGUCAUAUUAAUGAAACAUUUGAUAUUCCAUCUUCUCCUGAAAAACCCACUCCUAAUGGUGGUAUUCCACAUGAUAAUCUUGUCCUAAUCAGAAUGAAACCUGAUGAAAAUGGGAGGUUUGGAUUCAAUGUAAAGGGAGGAUAUGAUCAGAAGAUGCCUGUGAUUGUGUCUCGAGUAGCACCAGGAACACCUGCUGACCUCUGUGUCCCUAGACUGAAUGAAGGGGACCAAGUUGUACUGAUCAAUGGUCGGGACAUUGCAGAACACACUCAUGAUCAGGUUGUGCUGUUUAUUAAAGCUAGUUGUGAGAGACAUUCUGGGGAACUCAUGCUUCUAG
rnacentral:lncRNA from 10 species